rnacentral:rRNA from 1 species
AACUUUCAGCAACGGAUCUCUUGGCUCUCGCAUCGAUGAAGAACGCAGCGAAUCGCGAUAUGUAAUGUGAAUUGCAGAUCUACAGUGAAUCAUCGAUCUUUGAACGCA